CCUUAAGCCAACUCUAUCGGAACUAGGGAAAGGAACGUACAAAGCAGUCUAUCCAAAGGAUGCGUUACCGAUUUACAUGAUUCCGAAGGAUAUCGAGGAUUUAAUCAAGAGAGACAUUGUGCCUGAAGUUUUGGGAUUGACAUCACCUAAACCAACCACACCGUCUCCGAAACCCUCUUCAUCGUCUUUUAAGCCAAGUCCAUCCCUUAAGCCAACUCUAUCGGAACUAGGGAAAGGAAAGUACAAAACACUCAAUCCAGAGGAUACAUUACCGAUUAAGCCGGUUCUAUAUCCUCCUAGUCCGCUGCCAUCAUUUAAAACAUCAUUCACGGCCCAAAAACCAUCUCCAUCACCUAAAGGACUGACACCACCUAAAUCAACCACACCAUCUCUGAAACCCUCUUCAUCGUCUUGUAAGCCAAGUCCAUCCCUUAAGCCAACUCUAUCGGAACUAGGGAAAGGAAAGUACAAAACAGUCGAUCCAAAGGAUAUGUUACCGAUUUACAUGAUUCCGAAGGAUAUCGAGGAUUUAAUCAAGAGAGACACUGUGCCUGAAAUUUUGAAGAAGCCAUUGUCUGCCUCUUCAUAUCAGGAUUUCUUUGCAGCCCUUCUAUAUGCUGAGGAUUC
rnacentral:lncRNA from 1 species